rnacentral:rRNA from 1 species
GGGUUGUGAGGUUAAGCGACUAAGCGUACACGGUGGAUGCCCUGGCAGUCAGAGGCGAUGAAGGACGUGCUAAUCUGCGAAAAGCGUCGGUAAGGUGAUAUGAACCGUUAUAACCGGCGAUGUCCGAAUGGGGAAACCCAGUGCAAUUCGUUGCACUAUCGUUAACUGAAUACAUAGGUUAACGAGGCGAACCGGGGGAACUGAAACAUCUAAGUACCCCGAGGAAAAGAAAUCAACCGAGAUUCCCCCAGUAGCGGCGAGCGAACGGGGAGCAGCCCAGAGUCUGAAUCAGCUUGUGUGUUAGUGGAACGGUCUGGAAAGUCCGACGGUACAGGGUGAUAGUCCCGUACACCAAAAUGCACAGGCUGUGAACUCGAAGAGUAGGGCGGGACACGUGGUAUCCUGUCUGAAUAUGGGGGGACCAUCCUCCAAGGCUAAAUACUCCUGACUGACCGAUAGUGAACCAGUACCGUGAGGGAAAGGCGAAAAGAACCCCGGCGAGGGGAGUGAAAAAGAACCUGAAACCGUGUACGUACAAGCAGUGGGAGCACCUUCGGGUGUGACUGCGUACCUUUUGUAUAAUGGGUCAGCGACUUAUAU